UGAUGCAAGAUAGCGCCUGAAAGAGCUAACAAAGUAUGUGGAUGCCUAGUAAUGUUCAUUCUCUUUUUAAUUGUGCCACUUAAUCUUUUCCUUUCCAUCAGAUGGGAACCAGCCAGGAGAAUGGGAUUGGCAAAGACAACUUCAGCCCAAAUUCUGGAGAAGCUGUGGAAAAGGAGCAGUCCAGAGAAUCUGGAAGGGACUCAAGAUCCAAAACAGUGGUGGAAAGACUUCGUGUUACUUUAAGGCACCACAAGAUUCUUUAUUGUAGUUUUUGCUGCAAACAAAGUAGCUAACGGGGAAGGAGGAUUCGCUUAAAAUGGAAUAUAAACAACUCAUAAAUGUGUGACAUCCAUCCCUUUCCACCAUUAGAACAGUGCAAGUAGCUUUGCUUAUAAUUACAAAGAAAUGAAGAGAUAAUAAUUUUUGCCCAGAUUUAUGCAGAAACUUCACAAUACCGUACUGAGGGGAUUGAAUUAAUUCUUUGAUGUUAACUAACAAAAAGACAUAUUUUCCAAUGAGAAGAGAAAAGCUUUGGUAUUGUCACCACUGGCCUGUCCAGACUGAUUCAUUUUAUCCUGUUUACCACUUUGUACUGCAAAAGCAACAUGACCUAUUAUGUGUCUACACUUGUUUAGCCAGCCCUCUAUUUGUUUAUGGACUCGGUGCUGAACUGAAACCUUUUAAAAUAAAUCUAAGUUCGGGCAUUUCAAUCUA